GAUCAUGGCUCAGGAUGAACGCUAGCUACAGGCUUAACACAUGCAAGUCGAGGGGCAGCAUGGUCUUAGCUUGCUAAGAUUGAUGGCGACCGGCGCACGGGUGAGUAACGCGUAUCCAACCUUCCCUAUAGUAGGGGAUAGCCCGUAGAAAUGCGGAUUAAUACCCUAUGUUGUAUUUCGAUGACAUCUGACGAAUACCAAAGGUUCACCGCUAUAGGAUGGGGAUGCGUCUGAUUAGGUAGUCGGCGGGGUAACGGCCCACCGAGCCAACGAUCAGUAGGGGUUCUGAGAGGAAGGUCCCCCACAUUGGAACUGAGACACGGUCCAAACUCCUACGGGAGGCAGCAGUGAGGAAUAUUGGUCAAUGGGCGAGAGCCUGAACCAGCCAAGUAGCCGUGCAGGAUGACGGCCCUAUGGGUUGUAAACUGCUUUUAUGCGGGGAUAAAGUGAGGGACGUGUCCCUUAUUGUAGGUACCGCAUGAAUAAGGACCGGCUAAUUCCGUGCCAGCCGCCGC
rnacentral:rRNA from 1 species